rnacentral:misc_RNA from 1 species
GAAAUGCGAUAAGUAGUGUGAAUUGCAGAAUUCAGUGAAUCAUCGAAUCUUUGAACGCACAUUGCGCCCCUUGGUAUUCCAUGGGGCAUGCCUGUUCGAGCGUCAUUUGUACCCUCAAGCUCUGCUUGGUGUUGGGUGUUUGUCCCGUCUCCGCGCGUGGACUCGCCCCAAAGUGAUUGGCAGCCGGCGUACUGUCCCGGAGCGCAGCACAUGUCGCGCAAACGAGUGCCUUGGUACGGCGGCGUCCAUAAGCCCCUCUCUCACGCUCUUGACCUCGGAUCAGGUAGGGAUACCCGCUGAACUUAAGC